GGAACGAACGCUGGCGGCAUGCCUAAUACAUGCAAGUCGAACGAACUCUUCGGAGUUAGUGGCGCACGGGUGCGUAACGCGUGGGAAUCUGCCCCUUGGUUCGGAAUAACAGUUGGAAACGACUGCUAAUACCGGAUGAUGACGAAAGUCCAAAGAUUUAUCGCCAAGGGAUGAGCCCGCGUAGGAUUAGCUAGUUGGUGAGGUAAAGGCUCACCAAGGCAACGAUCCUUAGCUGGUCUGAGAGGAUGAUCAGCCACACUGGGACUGAGACACGGCCCAGACUCCUACGGGAGGCAGCAGUAGGGAAUAUUGGACAAUGGGCGAAAGCCUGAUCCAGCAAUGCCGCGUGAGUGAUGAAGGCCUUAGGGUGUAAA
rnacentral:rRNA from 1 species